rnacentral:rRNA from 1 species
GAUGAACGCUGGCGGCGUGCUUAACACAUGCAAGUCGGACGGACACAUCUUUCGGGGUGUGUUAGUGGCAGACGGGUGCGUAACACGUAGGUAACCUGCCCUGGAGUGGGGAAUAAUUCCGCUAACGCGGGACUAAUACCGCAUAGGCUCGGUAGCGUGAGGCUACUGCGUAAAGCUGAGAGGCGCUUCAGGAUGGGCCUGCGGCGGAUUAGCUAGUUGGUAAGGUAACGGCUUACCAAGGCGACGAUCAGUAGCCGACCUGAGAGGGUGACCGGCCACACUGGGACUGAGACACGGGCCAGACUCCUACGGGAGGCAGCAGUGAGGAAUAUUGGACAAUGGGCGCAAGCCUGAUCCAGCAAUGCCGCGUGCAGGAUGAAGGCCUUCGGUUGUAAACUGCUUUGUUACGGAACGAAACGGUAGAGCUCUAAUAAAGACUUGCUAAUGACGGUACCGUAAGAAUAAGACACCGGCUAACUACGUGCCAGCAGCCGCGGUAAA